rnacentral:rRNA from 1 species
GGCCUUUUGAGUUUUAUAUAAGGUCGUACCUGCCCAUUGAUUAAUAAUAUUAAAAGGCUGCGGUAUUUUAACUGUACGAAGGUAGCAUAAUCAUUUGUCUUUUAAUUGAAGGCUAGUAUGAAUGGUUUGAUGAAAUAUAAUCUUUCUUUUAAUUAUUUUUUUGAAUUUAAUUUUUUAGUUAAAAAGCUAAAAUAUUUUUAUAGGACGAGAAGACCCUAUAGAAGUUUACUAAUUUUAUAAAAUUAUAUAUUUUGAUUUUAAAUUAUUUUUUUAAAAGAAUGAGUUUUAUUGGGGUGAUAUUAAAAUUAAAUAAACUUUUAAUUUUGUUUUUCAUUGAUUUAUGUUUUUUUGAUCCAAAAUUUUUGAUUAAAAGAUUAACUUACCUUAGGGAUAACAGCGUAAUUUAUUUGGAGAGUUCUUAUCAAUAAAUAAGUUUGCGA